rnacentral:rRNA from 1 species
UACAGAGGGUGCAAGCGUUGUUCGGAAUCAUUGGGCGUAAAGCGCGUGUAGGCGGUUAUCUAAGUCUGGUGUGAAAGCCCGAAGCUUAACUUCGGAAGUGCACUGGAUACUGGAUAGCUAGAGUGCGAGAGGGGAGAUCGGAAUUCCUGGUGUAGGGGUGAAAUCCGUAGAUAUCAGGAGGAACAUCGGUGGCGAAGGCGGAUCUCUGGCUCGUUUCUGACGCUGAGACGCGAAAGCGUGGGGAGCAAACAGG